GCCUUUCUUGUGUAGUGGUCAGCACGCUCGACGCAUAACCGAGAGCUCUGUGGUUCGAUUCCCGGAGAAGGCG
rfam:Stegodyphus mimosarum contig84080, whole genome shotgun sequence.